AUGAAUUGCUGCAAUUUGCUAGUCUGGAAUGUCAGGGGUCUCAAUUCGGUUGCUAGAAGAGCUGCUAUUCGUGCGGUUGUUAAGCAUAAUGCUGUCAGUAUGAUUUGCUUGCAAGAAACGAAGAUGUCAACCUUUGAUUCCAGUCUGGUCUCUGAAAUCUGUGGUCCUAGGUUCACUGGCUUUGCUUUCUCCCCCUCUGAAGGUGCUAGUGGAGGUUUGCUUGUUGCAUGGACGGAUGACUUGUCUGUUAGCUCCACCCAAUGCUCUAAAUCCUUCAUCUCUGCUAAAUGUACAAAUGUUGCAACCGGGGUCUCUUGGCAUCUCAUUAACGUGUAUGGUCCUCAGGCUCAUGUGGACAAGAUUGCAUUCCCUGCUGAACUGCAAUUGAUGUGCCUGAACUCGGCUGAUGCACUUGUUUUUUUUGGGUGA
rnacentral:rRNA from 1 species